rnacentral:rRNA from 1 species
UACGGGGGGGGUAAGCGUUGUUCGGAAUUACUGGGCGUAAAGGGCUCGUAGGCGGCCAACUAAGUCAGACGUGAAAUCCCUCAGCUUAACUGGGGAACUGCGUCUGAUACUGGAUGGCUUGGAUUCGGGAGAGGAAUGCGGAAUUCCAGGUGUAGCGGUGAAAUGCGUAGAUAUCUGGAGGAACACCGGUGGCGAAGGCGGCAUUCUGGACCGACAUUGGCGCUGAGGAGCGAAAGCCAGGGGAGCAAACGGG